CGAGCUUUUCAGCCAAGUCCUCUUGGUAUGGUGCUUCUCAGGGAAGUUGAUUGAAAAGUUUUAUAGGCUAACAAGGGCCUGAAGGGGAUUAUCAUUUACAGGAUCUGCUUGUUUUUCUUAGAACUGGAAAGAAAAUAUAGAAACCUAUAUUUGUGAAGAUCUUGCCUCUCUGUGUCAACUUGCUCUUCUGAUCGGCAGAUAAGGGUAUUUUGCAUCUCAUGAUUGUUUCCAUUGAGCAUUUAUUAUCUUGAAGCCAAAGCAGGUAGAUAAGAGGGCACUUCCCUUCAAUCACAGGAGCACAUGCAGAAGAAACAUGGACAGAGCUCUGAAGAAAAGUGCAGAGGAACCACAGUCACUGAAAGUCCAGUAGUAUCUCAUUACCACUAUUUCUAAAAUCAUCUGCCAUCAGGAAUGGAAAAUAGGUGAAUAAUUUUUCUUCAGUCCUAUGGUCCUUCAGGACAGAACUCAGUACAUAGCUGGGAGUGCAUUACUACUCUGAUUAGGAUUUGCUACUAUAUUUUUAUUAGGAUGAAAGACUAUGCUAAACUGAGACUACAGGUGAUCUGAUUCCAAUGACCACAAAAUUAAAGGUCAGCUUGAAGAAGAAGAAUCAAAUUUCUUUCCUUAUAGUUUAAUUCAGAAAUCUAUGAAAUUGUUGUGCAUGUUUGUUAACAUCUGUUGCACAGGAUUUUUUAAUCUGCUUGAUAAUGUAGAUCAAAUGUCCCAAAUUGUUCUCUUGCUUGACAGAAACAAAUUAAUUUAAAUUCAGCAAAUCAUACUGAAAAUCCCGAAUUUAGUAGGCUUGUCUAUGGUCUGAUUGAAACGAAAAUAAUUGAGUAGUUGGUGAAAAUUUUAAAAAGCUAAUAAAAAUCAAUCACCUAAUAAAAAAGAAUCACCAAUUUCACCUUUUUCUCAUAGGAAAUAAAUGUUUGGCAUUUUUUAAGUUUAGGCAGAAUAUGAUGCUUGUAAACUGAAUUUCUUGAUCAUGUACAGAUAAUAAAUAUUGGGCAACUGAGAAAUUCUGGUGGAAAAUAUUUGAUUUUCAAGAACUAUAUCCAAGACCCAUUCAGCCACAACAACAUUUCUAUUUGUGAUCCUGAAUAUGGCUUUGAGCUCUGUACAGAUGAGCUUGUCGUAAGAAUUUCAGAUUUCAAACCUUUUGAUGGUAGCCAGUUGUCCACAGAGUCUAUGAUACCUGUUUGAUGCAGUUGCCUGUUGAACUGCUUAGCAUCAUCAUUUCCUAUUCCUCUAAACAUAAUCCUAAAAGCAGCUUAAUAACAAAUGUGUUAGCAAAGCACUGUGGAUAUCUGUGUCCUGAUAUUCCAGCCUGGGAUUACUCGGUACUUAUGCCUCUCUCCUGUCUCAAUGCUGAAUUUGCUAAAAUCUAGAAACAGAACCACUCUGCUGUUUUCCUGUCAUACAUUUUUAAUGUAAGCUACAAAAUCUCCAAAUUCUAAUACUACUUGUAGUAUUUUGUGCCAUUAGCACAAAAGCAAACACAGUUGGAGAAUAUGGCUCAGACAGUAGGGAACAUCAGGCCACUGGAUAAAGGAAGCAUAAAAAAAUCAACCCCAACCAAUGUGUCUUGCCGGAUGAGAAUCCUUUCAACAAAUUCUACCAAAAUCAGCAGCUGCCAGUGACUUUGUGGGCUGAAAUAAUGACUGAAACCUUCUCUCCAUUCCUAGGUAUUGUUCUCUGGCGCGUUUCCUCCAGAGCUCAGCUUUGAAUCUGUAGGGAAUGCCAUAGGCAAGUAGCUGUGUCCUCUCAGGAAUAUCCCAGUCUGUAAUUAUGCUGCUCACCAUUUCUCCUGUUGUCUUUUCCAUCUGCGUUUAAAAAGUUCUGCAGAGCUCAUCUUGCUCUUGAGAAAAAAAAUACAAUUCCCACCUUCCUUCUCCUUUCCAGAAGCUUUAAUUUUACUUAGAGUACAGCAGCCAGAGUGAGGUAAACAGAGCCUUUUUCUUGCUUACUGUCAAUGCAACCUCUUUAAGAUAACAAAAAAUAUAACUCUUGAUUCAUUCAAUAAGCUGGAAACAAUCUAUCAUUUGUAGACACAGCAUUAGAGGAGCAAAGAUUUUCAAAGUUAGACAAUUUUUACCAACAACUUGGAUUUAAGGAGACCUUAUUUCAUUAUAUAGAAAUUGAGCUUUGUCCACUAUUAUUUAACUAUUUCCAGAAAAUACUAGUUUGUGCCUUUCAGCAUAUAGGACACCUAUUCUCAUUUCUAAAUAUAUUUUUCUUUGGUUUCACAAUUGAUAGAGCUUAUUAUUAAAUAAAAGACAUUCAGUUUAGGUUUCUUACAACACCUUUGGUCCUCAACAAGGUGUUAUUUGUUCUAUGAGUUUAUUUCACACAGGUUGUGGUCGAUGUUGUUUUCUGUUGUGGUCAAUUCCUUUAAAACACAACUAGCUGUAUGCAUCUGGACAUUUUCUAAUUAUUUUAAAUCACCUGAGGAUUAUAAAGCCCAAGGAUUUCCUAUUCCUGCUAUUGGACAAAUAACAUACUAGGGAAAUUGUUCUUCCAGUGUUUGUGCAGACUACUCUCUGCUAGUCUGUAAAUUCUUUGAUUCAGAUUUUGUUAUUUUGAAUGUCUUUCUACACAUUCUAUCUGGCUCCUGCCUUCAUUAGGAUAUUUAAAUACCAAAAAUUAAUAUAGUGGAAAUGUCUUAUUUUGCAAAUGCUCAACUUGAUAGAAGGACUCAGAUUUAUUUUGUUUGCAAAUCUGGAUUUUAGGAUUUUAGGAUGAAGAAAGUAAUGUCAGUUUUUUUCAAACAUGGGAAGCAGGAAAGUGUGGACAUAUGUUGUUACUAUUUUUAACUUUAGUAACUAAUUUUAAGAAAAUUUGUGUUUCCUAUAGUUAGACAGAAUUUUGCGUACCUCUAUAAAAAAUGGAAUAAAUUGAACUGAUCCCAUUUAUUUCUAUUGUGACUAUAUUGAUAUGACAGCUAGUACAUUCUAGUAUAAAAUAAGUACUCACAAAAGCUUUUAUACCAGCAGUUUUGUAAUCCCACAAUGCCAGUAAUUUUUGGAACUAAAUGCAAAACUAAUUUCUCUGAAUUAACUUCUUCUCAGUAAAUAUUUCAGCAAAGGUCUCAGUUUAACUACAAAACUGAUUGGUGGUAAAAGUUAGAACUUUUAAAUAUAUAUUUCUGUUUGACGUGUCAAACAAAUUAGAAAAAUCUGUUUCAAUGUCAUUGUCUUACUAAUAGUUUUUGUGCUGAAACUAUUAAAUAGAAUUAUCGCUGUGCUAGGGGUAUUUUGAUCUAUUUAUUAGGAAAUUAGUGAAUAUAAUCUAAAAACCUCUACAACUCCUUUCAGCCAAGUGUAGCCUUCUACACUGUCAAAAUGGGCAGCUGAAAUGAAAAAAGCAAGACAAAACUGAACUAGAGUGCGAGUGAAUUCUUUAGAAGAAAAAUGGUUUCCUUGAAAAUCCCUGGUCAUCAAAUGCACCUGCGCAUUGAGGAUAGGCAAGAAAACAGUUCACCUUGUUAACAUUGGGUUCAACUAUUCUGUCCCAGUCAGCCCUACCUCAGUUUACUUGCUGAGUGAGGAAGGAGGGAUCUUCAGAGCUCAGAAUCCUCACUGGAGAAAUGGCUGCUGCCUCUCAGCGCUUGGCUGACCACAUGAAUGUGUCUGGAGCAGUGUACAACCUUCAGGCACUGUUUUGUGUGGGCUUGGCUGAGAGUACAUCAGUUCUUUUCUUCAGAAUACUUUGACUCCUUCAGUGCUACUGAUUACCCAACUGAGAGCAAAAAAUAAAUAAAUAUAAAUUAAAAAAAAUUCUCUUA